GACUACUGGGGUAUCUAAUCCUGUUUGCUCCCCACGCUUUCGUGCAUCAGCGUCAGUAAUGUUCCAGCAGGUCGCCUUCGCAAUGAGUAUUCCUCUUGAUAUCUACGCAUUUCACCGCUACACUAGGAAUUCCACUCUCCUCUCCUGCACUCAAGUUUCCCAGUUUCAAAGGCUUACUACGGUUGAGCCGUAGCCUUUCACCUCUGACUUAAGAAACCACCUACGCACCCUUUACCCCCAGUAAAUCCGGACAACGCUUGCCACCUACGUAUUACCGCGGCUGCUGGCACGUAGUUAGCCGUGGCUUAUUCGACAGGUACCGUCUUCUGCUCUUCCCUGUCAAAAGAAGUUUACAACCCGAAAGCCUUCUUCCUUCACGCGGCGUUGCUGGGUCAGGCUUUCGCCCAUUGCCCAAUAUUCCCCACUGCUGCCCCCCGUAGG
rnacentral:rRNA from 1 species